rnacentral:rRNA from 1 species
GGGUUGUGAGGUUAAGCGACUAAGCGUACACGGUGGAUGCCCUGGCAGUCAGAGGCGAUGAAGGACGUGCUAAUCUGCGAUAAGCGUCGGUGAGGUGAUAUGAACCGUUAUAACCGGCGAUUUCCGAAUGGGGAAACCCAGUGUGAUUCGUCACACUAUCAUUAACUGAAUCCAUAGGUUAAUGAGGCGAACCGGGGGAACUGAAACAUCUAAGUACCCCGAGGAAAAGAAAUCAACCGAGAUUCCCCCAGUAGCGGCGAGCGAACGGGGAGCAGCCCAGAGCCUGAAUCAGUGUGUGUGUUAGUGGAAGCGUCUGGAAAGGCGCGCGAUACAGGGUGACAGCCCCGUACACAAAAAUGCACAUGCUGUGAGCUCGAUGAGUAGGGCGGGACACGUGGUAUCCUGUCUGAAUAUGGGGGGACCAUCCUCCAAGGCUAAAUACUCCUGACUGACCGAUAGUGAACCAGUACCGUGAGGGAAAGGCGAAAAGAACCCCGGCGAGGGGAGUGAAAAAGAACCUGAAACCGUGUACGUACAAGCAGUGGGAGCACGCUUAGGCGUGUGACUGCGUACCUUUUGUAUAAUGGGUCAGCGACUUAUAUUCUGUAGCAAGGUUAACCGAAUAGGGGAGCCGAAGGGAAACCGAGUCUUAACUGGGCGUUAAGUUGCAGGGUAUAGACCCGAAACCCGGUGAUCUAGCCAUGGGCAGGUUGAAGGUUGGGUAACACUAACUGGAGGACCGAACCGACUAAUGUUGAAAAAUUAGCGGAUGACUUGUGGCUGGGGGUGAAAGGCCAAUCAAACCGGGAGAUAGCUGGUUCUCCCCGAAAGCUAUUUAGGUAGCGCCUCGUGAAUUCAUCUCCGGGGGUAGAGCACUGUUUCGGCAAGGGGGUCAUCCCGACUUACCAACCCGAUGCAAACUGCGAAUACCGGAGAAUGUUAUCACGGGAGACACACGGCGGGUGCUAACGUCCGUCGUGAAGAGGGAAACAACCCAGACCGCCAGCUAAGGUCCCAAAGUCAUGGUUAAGUGGGAAACGAUGUGGGAAGGCCCAGACAGCCAGGAUGUUGGCUUAGAAGCAGCCAUCAUUUAAAGAAAGCGUAAUAGCUCACUGGUCGAGUCGGCCUGCGCGGAAGAUGUAACGGGGCUAAACCAUGCACCGAAGCUGCGGCAGCGACGCUGAUGCGUUGUUGGGUAGGGGAGCGUUCUGUAAGCCUGCGAAGGUGUGCUGUGAGGCAUGCUGGAGGUAUCAGAAGUGCGAAUGCUGACAUAAGUAACGAUAAAGCGGGUGAAAAGCCCGCUCGCCGGAAGACCAAGGGUUCCUGUCCAACGUUAAUCGGGGCAGGGUGAGUCGACCCCUAAGGCGAGGCCGAAAGGCGUAGUCGAUGGGAAACAGGUUAAUAUUCCUGUACUUGGUGUUACUGCGAAGGGGGGACGGAGAAGGCUAUGUUGGCCGGGCGACGGUUGUCCCGGUUUAAGCGUGUAGGCUGGUUUUCCAGGCAAAUCCGGAAAAUCAAGGCUGAGGCGUGAUGACGAGGCACUACGGUGCUGAAGCAACAAAUGCCCUGCUUCCAGGAAAAGCCUCUAAGCAUCAGGUAACAUCAAAUCGUACCCCAAACCGACACAGGUGGUCAGGUAGAGAAUACCAAGGCGCUUGAGAGAACUCGGGUGAAGGAACUAGGCAAAAUGGUGCCGUAACUUCGGGAGAAGGCACGCUGAUAUGUAGGUGAAG